AAGUCGUAACAAGGUUUCCGUAGGUGAACCUGCGGAAGGAUCAUUACCGUGCCGUGGCAGCCGGCCCACAAAGCCUGGCUGUUUCACCUGGCCACCCGUGUCUACUUUACCUGUUGCUUCGGCGGCGCCCGCGAGGGUGCCCGCCGGUCUCAUCAGAAUCUCUGUUUUCGAACCCGACGAUACUUCUGAGUGUUCUUAGCGAACUGUCAAAACUUUUAACAACGGAUCUCUUGGCUCCA
rnacentral:misc_RNA from 1 species